ensembl:lncRNA
AGAGCUAUCAGUCAGGAGAACCUAGAGAGAACUCCAAUUAAACCAAAUGACUGCAUCACACAACAUUUAAGAAUGCACAGAUUUUCUCUUUUUUAGAUGGCCUCUUAGAGGCGUGAUGGCCGUUAACACAAAGAGUGAAAUCAAUUACAAAGAACCAGCACCAUCCAAUGUUCAGUUUUCUGGCCCCCCAGGAAAAUCUUAAGCUUUCAAAGCUUAAAAUGAAGGAAACAUUCUUGAGAGAGACCAUCAAAGUUCAUUUGUCCCAUUAAAUAUCCCUGGUUCUCUUGGCAUGAUUACUUUCUAUAAAUGUUUAAGACUCCUAAUGUGUCCUCUUUUUCCAUGAAAUAGAGGAAAAUUACUUAAGAGCCGAGAACUUAUUUAUCUGGCUGACUCAUGUUCUUUCUUGUAGUCUCAGCUCAAGUAUUUUAUCCUUGGAGAAGCUUCUCCUGACACACACCCGCCCCUCCACCUGGCUGGAGGAAGUUGUCUUACUUCUGAAUGCCUUUAGCAGUGUCCUCACAUCACUACCUUAUAACUUCUUGUUUUUUUAAUUUAUUACUAUUUGCUAAAAAUAUUUACUUAUUUGGCUGCAUUGGGUCUUAGUUGCAUGAUGCGGAAUCUUUCACUGAGGCGCCUGGGCACUAGAGUUGUGGCACAUGGGCUUAGCUGCCCUGAGGUGUGUGGAAUCUUAGUUCUCGGACCAGGGAUCAAACUCGUGUCCUGUUCAUUAGAAGGUGGAUUCUUGACCACUGGACCACCAGGAACAUUAGACUCUUCUUCCAGCUUCAUGGACAAUCAAUCUAAAGAAGAUGGUUUCCUUGAAAUAUGGAGACAACUAAAAAUUCUCAAAAGCAGCCUAUGCUGUAAGCUAAGCUGGGUGAGGGGUCUUGUCUUUCCUAUUUGGCAAGCCCAGGUCUGGGUGCAGGGUCUGCCCAUGGCAGCCACCAGCAGUGGAGAGAAGGACAUGUCACCCAGACCGCCUUCAAGGAAGAACCUGCUGUCCUCUGCACACAGCCUUCAGUCAUUGACACCUUCAGAAAUUGCUUCAACUGUGCCUUCUCUUGCCUGAGGUCAUGGUCUUCCCAGGACAGCCUUCAUUCCAUGGAUGAGCAAGGCAAGGAGACAGAGGCACAGCCAUUCUGACCAAAUGUGCCCACAGGACAACCCCAACAGACAUCAUCUGCUCCAAGUCCCCCCAGAGACUUCUGGUUUGAUCAUGCCAUGGUGUGACUCCUCCCUCUGUCCAAUAAAUAUUGGUUCCUAAUAAAU